rnacentral:rRNA from 1 species
CCUACGGGUGGCAGCAGUGAGGAAUAUUGGUCAAUGGACGCAAGUCUGACCCAGCAACGCCGCGUGGGCGAUGGAGUGCUUCGGCAUGUAAAGCCCUAUCAGCAGGGAAGAAAAUGACGGUACCUGACUAAGAAGCCCCGGCUAAAUACGUGCCAGCAGCCGCGGUAAUACGUAUGGGGCAAGCGUUAUCCGGAUUUACUGGGUGUAAAGGGAGCGUAGGCGGCCUGGCAAGCCUGAUGUGAAAUACCGGGGCCCAACCCCGGGGCUGCAUUGGGAACUGCCAGGCUGGAGUGCCAGAGAGGCAGGCGGAAUUCCUAGUGUAGCGGUGAAAUGCGUAGAUAUUAGGAGGAACACCAGUGGCGAAGGCGGCCUGCUGGACGGUGACUGACGCUGAGGCUCGAAAGCGUGGGGAGCAAACAGGAUUAGAUACCCCAGUAGUC